rnacentral:sRNA from 1 species
UCGAAGCAUUACAGUAGAGCCCUUGGUUGAUUGAUAAAAAAAUCUCCAGGGGCUUUCUGCUGU